rnacentral:rRNA from 1 species
UACGAAGGGGGCUAGCGUUGUUCGGAUUUACUGGGCGUAAAGCGCACGUAGGCGGAUCGUUAAGUCGGGGGGUGAAAUCCUGGAGCUCAACUCCAGAACUGCCUUCGAUACUGGCGAUCUUGAGUCCGGAAGAGGUGAGUGGAACUCCGUAGUGUAGCGGUGAAAUGCGCAGAUAUCAGGAGGAACACCGGUGGCGAAGGCGGAUCUCUGGGCCAUUACUGACGCUGAGGAGCGAAAGCGUGGGGAGCGAACAGGA